rnacentral:rRNA from 1 species
UACGUAGGGGGCUAGCGUUGUCCGGAAUCAUUGGGCGUAAAGCGCGUGUAGGCGGUCCGGUAAGUCCGCUGUGAAAGUCGGGGGCUCAACCCUCGGAUGCCGGUGGAUACUGUCGGGCUUGAGUACGGAAGAGGCGAGUGGAAUUCCUGGUGUAGCGGUGAAAUGCGUAGAUAUCGGGAGGAACACCAGUGGCGAAGGCGACUUCCUGGCCUGUUCUUGACGCUGAGGCGCGAAAGCUAGGGUAGCAAACGGG